ACCUGUUUUAGCUAGUCCUCAAUUUGGUCGGGUGUUUGAGCCUGCUUCUGGAGUCGAGUCCCACCUCCUACCUCAGUUUUUCUGCUGGUGUCACCUGAUUCACUCUGUGGCCACAGUCAGCUGGCAGGAUUUCCUUACAAAUAGGCAGGAACGGACGGCAGCACUUGCCAGCUAACAGUAACCCCAUCCUCCUGGGAUCGAGUGCAAGAGUCUCACUCUGUUGCCCAGGAGUGCAAUGGUGCCAUCUCAGCUCACCACAACCUCUGCCUCCCAGAUUCAAGCAAUUCUCCUGCCUCACCCUCCCGAGUAGCUGGGACUACAGGCUCAUGUCACCAAGCACAGGGACAAGAUCGCACUCUCUCCCAGGCUGGAGUGCAGUGGGCUCAUCCAGUGAACCGUGACAACACCACUGCAGCCUUGACUUCCCCGGGCUCAAGUGAUCCUCCCACCUCUGCCUCCUGGUAGCUGGGUGCGCACCACCAUACCCAGCUAAUUUUUUGCAGGGUCCAGGUGCACGUGUCUUUCAAGGGCAUCAUUCAGUCCACUGCAGAAGCCAAAGAACAACCGAGGUGGCUGCUGAGCACAGACACAGCACUGGGGGUGAGGGCCCCCGGCCCUGGGCUGGUGUCUGCAGGCUCGGGGUCCAUGACCUCCAGGGGACGUGCUGGGGAGAACACCCUCUGCUGACAGCGCUGGCUCCCAAGUCCUCAUUUCUAAGCUCUGCUCACCAGCCCCCACAAACACAUCUCGGUGUGGGCCAGGUGAGGCUUUUGCUCUAUUCUUUCUAAAUGUGGCUGGACUUCCUGACCCUGCCCUUCCUGUUUUGGCCUGAAAAACAGGGCCUGUCUUUCUGGGGAACAUUUGCAAAAAAGCAAUGCCCACCUGGUGGCAGCAUGGCAGGCAGGCUCCCACAGGGCCAUCCCGGAGCCCUCCUCCCACAGCCCCUUCCCACAUGCCCCUCCUGCCCAGAACCCUUCACUGCUCCCAGGGCCUCCAGGAGAAAGUACGACCUCCUGCUCCUCCUUCCAGAGUUAGCCUUCCAGGAUUUAGGGAGUAUGUUCCUGCAGCUUCCCCCCAGAGGCCCACCUCUGUCUGUCUUGCUGCUGUUCCUCCUGGCUGGCACCCCAGCCCUUCCUCCCCACACCUGUCCGCAGCCCCGUGUGCCUGCAAGCCACUACAACCUCCAUCUCCUGGGUUCAAGGGAUUCUCCUGCCUUAGCCUCCGGAGUAGCUGGGAUUACAGGCUCGCACCACCAUGCCCAACUAAUUUCUGUAUUUUUAGUAGAGAUGGGAUUUCACCAUGUUGGCCAGAAUGGUCUCAAUCUCUUGACCUUGUGAUCCGCCCACCUUGGCCUCCCAAAGUGCUGGAAUUACAGGUGCACCUGGCCUAAAGAUUUUCUGAUUGGCAGUUGUCUGAAAGAAUUGUUAUUAUCACCGGGCGCGGUGGCUCACGCCUGUAAUCCCAGCACUUUAGGAGGCCGAGGAGGGUGGAUCACGAGGUCAAGAGAUCGAGACAAUCCUGGUCAACAUAGUGAAACCCCGUCUCUACUAAAAAUACAAAA